GGUUUAAUUCGAUGAUACGCGAGGAACCUUACCAGGGCUCGAACGCACGACGACAGGGGCGGAAACGUCCUCUUCUUCGGACGGCGUGCGAGGUGCUGCAUGGCUGUCGUCAGCUCGUGCCGUGAGGUGUCGGGUUAAGUCCCAUAACGAGCGCAACCCCCAUCUCUAGUUGCCAGCGGGUAAUGCCGGGGACUCGUAGAGAAACUGCCCGUGUAAACGGUGAA
rnacentral:rRNA from 1 species